GUCUUACCCCCAGGGCUUGACUUGAGGAAGAGGAAGACAACAAAAUCUCCAGCCCGGAGCCUCACACUGUCAUGGCCAGGAAAGAGGCAGGGAAGAUUCCAUCUAUUGAAAUGGAAAAUCCACAUGGACACCUGGACCAAGCAUGCUAGACACCUAGAAGAUGGCUGCCACUGUCUCCAAUUAAAUUCUCUGUUCCAAGUCUCUCCCCAUUACACAACAUUGGACAUGGUCACCAAAAAACCCUUCCUACACUUCCACUUUUAAAAUGUCCUUCCCUAUGUGGGUUGAAGUUGAAGGCCUAGGAUUUAGACUUCUGACAUCGUCUCCGUAAGUAUUCCUCCACGUAAACGCAUGGGGUUCAAGGGAGAAGACUCUAUCC
rnacentral:lncRNA from 1 species